GUGUCAGCCGCCGCGGUAAUACGUAGGGGGCGAGCGUUGUCCGGAAUCAUUGGGCGUAAAGAGCUCGUAGGCGGUUCAGUAAGUCGGCUGUGAAAUUCCGAGGCUCAACCUCGGAACUGCAGUCGAUACUAUUGUGACUAGAGUCCGGUAGAGGAGAAUGGAAUUCCCGGUGUAGCGGUGAAAUGCGCAGAUAUCGGGAGGAACACCAGUAGCGAAGGCGGUUCUCUGGGCCGGUACUGACGCUGAGGAGCGAAAGCGUGGGGAGCAAACAGGAUUAGAUACCCCCGUAGUCC
rnacentral:rRNA from 1 species